AGAAUUUGAUCUUGGUUCAGAUUGAAUGCUGACGGCGUGGAUGAGGCAUGCAAGUCGAACGGAAUUGGGGGUAACUCCAAUUCAGUGGCGGAAGGGUUAGUAAUACAUGGGUAACCUGCCUAUAACUUUGGAAUAACGAUUGGAAACGAUCGCUAAUACCAAAUGUGGUGAGGGAAGGUAGCUUCUUCUCAUUAAAGUGGGGGGUCGUAAGACCUCGCGGUUAAAGAGGGGCCCAUGGGAUAUCAGCUUGUUGGUGAGGUAAAGGCUCACCAAGGCUAAGACGUCUAGGCGGAUUGAGAGAUUGACCGCCAACACUGGGACUGAGAACUGCCCAGACUCCUACGGGAGGCUGCAGUCGAGAAUCAUUCGCAAUGGGCGAAAGCCUGACGAUGCGACGCCGUGUGUAUGAUGAAGGCCUUCGGGUCGUAAAGUACUUUCGCUUGGGAACAAGAGAAGCCGGAUAAUACCCGGCUAAUUUGAGGGUACCAGGUAAAGAAGCACCGGCUAACUACGUGCCAGCAGCUGCGGUAAUACGUAGGGUGCAAGCAUUAAUCGGAAUUAUUGGGCGUAUAGGGCGCGUAGGCGGACCUACAAGUCGGUUGUGAAAUCCCAGGGCUCAACCCUGGAAUAGCACCCGAAACUGUAGAACUAGAGGGUAGGCGGAGAAAACGGAAUUCCACAAGUAGCGGUGAAAUGCGUAGAUAUGUGGAAGAACAUCGGUGGCGAAGGCGGUUUUCUAGCUUAUUCCUGACGCUGAGGCGCGAAAGCAAGGGGAUCAAACAGGAUUAGAUACCCUGGUAGUCCUUGCCGUAAACUAUGUAUACUUGGUGUAACUGGACUCAACCCUAGUUGUGCCGUAGCUAACGCGUUAAGUAUACCGCCUGGGGAGUACACUCGCAAGGGUGAAACUCAAAAGAAUUGACGGGGACCCGCACAAGCAGUGGAGCAUGUGGUUUAAUUCGAUGCUACGCGAAGAACCUUACCCAGACUUGACAUGCAGAUGACAGCUCUAGAAAUAGAGUCUUCCUUCGGGACAUCUGCACAGGUGCUGCAUGGCUGUCGUCAGCUCGUGCCGUGAGGUGUUGGGUUAAGUCCCGCAACGAGCGCAACCCUUAUCAUUAGUUGCCAACAUUUAAGGUGGGAACUCUAAUGAGACUGCCUGGGUUAACCAGGAGGAAGGUGAGGAUGACGUCAAGUCCGCAUGGCCCUUAUGUCUGGGGCUACACACGUGCUACAAUGGUCGGUACAGAAGGCAGCAAAACCGCAAGGCGAAGCAAAUCCCCAAAACCGAUCCCAGUUCAGAUUGUAGUCUGCAACUCGACUACAUGAAGACGGAAUUGCUAGUAAUGACGAGUCAGCAACAUCGUCGUGAAUACGUUCCCGGGUCUUGUACACACCGCCCGUCACAUCAUGGGAGUUGGUUUUACCCGAAGCCGCUGACUUAACCGCAAGGAGAGAAGCGUCUAAGGUAAGGCUGAUGACUGGGAUGAAGUCGGAACAAGGUA
rnacentral:rRNA from 1 species